UAACAAGGUUUCCGUAGGUGAACCUGCGGAAGGAUCAUUAUCGUACAAAAUGUGUGAGGCAUGCGAGGGCUGUCGCCGACUUAAAGUUGUGCACGCCAGAGUGUGUCCUCUCACAUAAAAUCCAUCUCACCCUUUUGUGCACCACCACGUGGGCACCCUUUGGGAUCGAACCCGAUCUUGGAGGGGGCUUGCGUUUUCACACAAACCCCAUUUUAAAAGUGUAGAAUGACCACAUUUUUGCGAUAACACGCAAUCAAUACAACUUUCAACAACGGAUCUCUUGGCUCUCGCAUCGAUGAAGAACGCAGCGAAAUGCGAUACGUAAUGUGAAUUGCAGAAUUCAGUGAAUCAUCGAAUCUUUGAACGCACCUUGCGCCCCUUGGUAUUCCGAGGGGCACACCCGUUUGAGUGUCGUGAAAAUCUCAACCUUCUUAGGUUUCUUCUGGAGACCAAAGGAGGCUUGGACUUUGGAGGCCUUUGCUGGCGUCUCUCUCUUUUGAAGGCCAGCUCCUCUUAAACAAAUUAGCAGGGUCCUCUUUGCCGAUCCUUGACAUGUGAUAAGAUGCUUCCAUGUCUUGGCUUUCUGGCUCUGUUGCCUUUGGGACCCGCUUCUAAUCGUCUUGACCUUGCGUCGAGACAACGUUUGAGCACGUCUCCCUUCUAGGGAAACGCUCUCAACCCCACGAACCCUUGACCUCAAAUCGGGUGAGACUACCCG
rnacentral:rRNA from 1 species